GCGGCAGGCUUAACACAUGCAAGUCGAGCGGAGAGAGGUAGCUUGCUACUGAUCUUAGCGGCGGACGGGUGAGUAAUGCUUAGGAAUCUGCCUAUUAGUGGGGGACAACAUUUCGAAAGGGAGAUUAAUACCGCAUAAGACAGUAGCUGGGCAUCCAGCAGCUGUUAAAGAUUUAUCGAUGUAAGCUGGGCAUGCGUCCAAUUAGCUAGUUGGUGAGGUAACGGCUCACCAAGGCAAUGAUUGGUAGGGGAACUGAGAGGUCAAUCCCCCACACUGGCACUGAGAUACGGGCCAGACUCCUACGGGAGGCAGCAGUAGGGAAUAUUGGGCAAUGGACGCAAGUCUGACCCAGCCAUGCCGCGUGCAGGAUGAAGGCGUUAUGCGUUGUAAACUGCUUUUAUACAGGAAGAAACGACUCUUGCGAGAGGCAUUGACGGUACUGUAUGAAUAAGCACCGGCUAACUCCGUGCCAGCAGCCGCCGUAACAC
rnacentral:rRNA from 1 species